rnacentral:rRNA from 1 species
GAUGAACGCUGGCGGCGUGCCUAAUACAUGCAAGUCGAACGCGAGAGGAGGGAGCUUGCUCCCUCUGAUCGAGUGGCGGACGGGUGAGUAACACGUAGGCAACCUGCCCAUCAGCCGGGGAUAACUGCGGGAAACCGUGGCUAAUACCGGGUAAUCCUCCCCGCCGCGGGGUGGGGAGUUGAAAGACGGUUUCGGCUGUCGCUGAUGGAUGGGCCUGCGGCGCAUUAGCUGGUUGGCGGGGUAACGGCCCACCAAGGCAACGAUGCGUAGCCGACCUGAGAGGGUGAUCGGCCACACUGGGACUGAGACACGGCCCAGACUCCUACGGGAGGCAGCAGUAGGGAAUCUUCCGAAAUGGACGCAAGUCUGACGGAGCAACGCCGCGUGAGUGAAGAAGGGUUUCGGCUCGUAAAACUCUGUUGUUAAGGAAGAACGCCAGGUAGAGUAACUGCUACCUGUGUGACGGUACUUAACCAGAAAGCCACGGCUAACUACGUGCCAGCCGCCGCGGUAA